UUAUACGACUCAGUUGGCUUGCUCAUCGACCGUCAGCCCUGUCGUAUGCGAUCUUUACGCGAGUAAAGCUGGUAGUCAAUUUUUGAAUCGUGAAACCGUUGAGCGCAAGGUGCAGACAUGGAUUACUGUUCAGUCACAAUCGUUACCCUCCUGCAUAUUUCAAUAUUCUCAUCGGCUGAGAAAGUUCUUUUAGAACAACAGCCAGCCCCAGGUAAGACCUAGUUCUGGGUUCCAUCGAGGCCUUCAGGGGGAAAUGGCGGACCUACUGGGGUAAGAUCUUAUAUUUCGAUUGUUAUGUAAGCUCUUCGACCGCAAUAAUUGA